rnacentral:tRNA from 1 species
GGGCGAGUGGCGGAAUAGGUAGACGCGCUAGGUUCAGGGUCUAGUGUCCGAGAGGACGUGGGGGUUCGAGUCCCCCCUCGCCCACGA